CCUUCUUCCCCCUCCCCUAUCUGUUUUUGGAAAACGUUUUUUUUUCCCCCUUCUUUACAACCCUCUCUUCCGAAACCGGACGAGGCUCAGUUUGGGAGGGAAGUGGAACUGGAGAUGUUCCUUGACGAGAGGACAGCAUGUCAACAUGAGCGCGUCUUUGUACAGGCUGCGCCGGGAGAAGACAAGGCGGCGAUAUACACAUCUUUGUCCUUGAUUAUGGUCAUUAUGCAAAGCGAAUUACUAACAAAAGUUUGUUUGGUAACUAAUUAUAGCGCACUAAAUCUCUGCCUCUCUUCACUUCAGCAUAAUGUAUACAAACUUUUGUACACGCGGAUCAGAAUAAAACAAAGUGUUGACAGCAUCCAGCAGUGGAAAUUCACUUACACGAGACUUUUUUUCACUGAAGUGUUGACAAUAAACAUUUAAUGAAGGCAGAGACUUGGAUGUCUCCAGACAGUGUCAGAAUACUUUAAACAGACCAUUAGCAUGGCUUCUUCUACUUCAAACAGAGCACACUAUACCAUAACAUUAUAAAAAUACAAAGUACGAAACAAAUAAUCUGUUUAUACAGAUAUUUUAAGCUGUUUUCACCAGCUCUGACAUCCCCUGUAUUUAGUAACAGAAACUUACUCAUUUCAGAUUACUCGCGCUUAAAAAAUGUUAAAUACAGUUAAUGCAAUAUUAAUCGCCCUUUGGUGAUAUAAAAUGCAAUAUUUUCAGGCAGCUAUCGAGCUUUUCUAGAGGCAGAGCUGAUGAAAACAGUCACAGCUGAAUAGUGGAGAGAAAAAAGCUCGGUAUUUAUUGCUUUUGUUUGGCUUUUGGCUACAGAGACAGGAACAUUCUAAUGGGGCUCUGAAGCAAAAGCCGGGACAAAACACUAAGGACUCAAUUGUGCCUUGAAGGCAUGGAGCUGCAAUGGGGAUACUGCAGAGACACAUCACCUCCACAGGAGCUCCAGGAGGGACUGCGCCUCAGGCAUGAACUCUGCCUCCUGCAGCUCCUGGGGAAUAUGGCUAAUACACUCCAGUUGUACAAGGUACCACAUGUACUCCCCACCAAGUGAAGGAAGCUCUCCUGGCCUCAGAAGACCCACCAGUCAGAUGCCCUUCAGACUCAUGAGCCUUGCUUGCAUUCUGUGAAAUAACACCAGCAAAGGCCUAGCACUAGCAACGUCUGAAAGAGCAACCAUAAAGGCAAGUCAUAUAUGUCCCCAUACUUGGCUACAGGAAUGCACUUGUGGCAACUUCUUGGCAAGGCAGCUGGCAGAGUGUAGCAGGAAUCUUUCAGCUUACCACGUCUUUCCAGGUGUCUGAGCA
rnacentral:lncRNA from 1 species